UUGCUUCGGUGGUAGAUAUACUAAAAUUGGAACGAUACAGCGUAGAUUAGCAUGGCCCCUGCGCCAGGACGGUACCUACAAUAGUGCAAUUGAAAUACAUGUU
rnacentral:snRNA from 1 species